AAAAACAGAAUGAAACGAAACAGAGAGCGGGGGAGAAAAAGAAAGAAAGAAAGGGAGAAAAAAGAAAUUUUAAGGUUUGAAGCUUUAAGCUUUAAUAGCUAAUGUUGUCUCGAGAAGUUUCGGCUAAGUAAGGAAAUAGCAAAGUCGACGAGGAAAAGCUUGGAAAAGCUCGAAAAAUACGGUUUAGUAAAGAUAGAACGUUGAAUCAGCAUCCCAGUUCGAUUCCGAAUUCAUUAAGGUGGCUUUAUUCUCUGUUGAGCAUUGCUUGUGAGAUGUUGCUAGUCAUCCAUUCUUCAACUUCUUUCUUCUUGUGAUGGUGGCUUUAUAUUUUGCGAAGAUGACUUGAUGUUUGUGUGUGAAAUGUUGCUCUUAUCUAUAUAUUUUGCGAAAGUGACUUGAUGCUUAUGGGCUCACCUGUUA